rnacentral:rRNA from 1 species
CGUACUUCCCAGGUGGCUCGCUUCACGGCUUCCUACGGCACCGACAACGGUCGCACCGUGGCCGACACCUAGCGAGUAUCGUUUACGGCUAGGACUACCCGGGUAUCUAAUCCGGUUCGUGCCCCUAGCUUUCGUCCCUUGCCGUCAGGUCCGUUCUGGUGAGACGCCUUCGCCACUGGUGGUCCUUCAAGGAUUACAAGAUUUCACCCCUACCCCUGAAGUACCUCUCACCUCUCCCGGCCUCGAGCCAGACAGUAUCUCCUGAAAGCCUGACAGUUAAGCUGCCAGAUUUCUCAAGAGACUUAUCCGGCCGGCUACAGACCCUUUAGACCCAAUAAUAACGGUUACCACUCGAGCCGCCGGUGUUACCGCGGCGGCUGGCACCGGUCUUGCCCGGCCCUUGCUAUGAAAUGCUUUUUAGGCAUCUCGACAGCCAGAUUUGUAACCUGGCACUCGAGGUUCCCUUAUCGCUGUUGCCAGCAUUGUAAAGUUUUCGCGCCUGCUGCACCCCGUAGGGCCUGGAUUCGUGUCUCAGAAUCCAUCUCCGGGCUCUUGCUCUCACAACCCGUACCCGU